GGAAGCUUAGGGAAGAACUGUUGUCUGACAUGGGGGAGAAGGUCUUUUUUAGACAGAAUAACCCCACCCCGUCUAACCAUGAGUCUGAGUGGAGAGAGGAGAGCAGCAGGGCUUGGCGGAAUGUUCCAGUCAUUUGACGGGGCUCAGUGAGAUGGAAUGGCAGGAGUCUAGCUGGAGGAACAGCAGCAGCUGCGUGAGAGAGAAAAGAGGUCCAGAAGAGGGUGCCACUGAUCAAAAUAACCCUCCACCCACCGGCCCCAGCCCAGCUGCGCCAGCCAGGGGAGUGGGUACCUACCCCAGCCUCAACCAAAGCUCAUAAAGGCCUUCCCUGGAGGUCAAACCCCCUCUCCUCAGUACAGUAGAAGAGUGUUAAUUACGUCCAAGAUGGACUUUUCCUGGUCGGCGGAGUUUUAGACCUGAUCUGAUGAAGCUGGUAGCUUCAGGGACCGAUAAAGCGCUGGCACAUAAAAGCUUUUCUGCUUCUCUUCAUUCUGGUUGUUCUCAUUGAGAUAACAUCUCCUUUACUAAGCACUAGUCAACCUCAGGGCCAGAAGAGGCCAGACUGAAGAGGAGCCAUUGGACUUUGACUGGAAUAAUAGUAGUUUGUUUGAAAUGUAAGUGUCCUCCGUUAUGCUUGUUUAUUUUGCCGACAGUGUGAUUUGUGCGUAAUUUCCACCUGCGAUUGUAGAAUCGUCAUUAAAGCAUGUUUUGAUAAAGUGCAA
rnacentral:lncRNA from 1 species